rnacentral:rRNA from 1 species
UACGUAGGUGGCAAGCGUUGUCCGGAUUUACUGGGCGUAAAGAGCGCGCAGGCGGUCGUGCAAGUCGCGUGUGAAAGCCCCCGGCUCAACUGGGGAGGGUCACGCGAUACUGCUCGACUUGAAGGCAGGAGAGGGAAGUGGAAUUCCCGGUGUAGUGGUGAAAUGCGUAGAUAUCGGGAGGAACACCAGUGGCGAAGGCGGCUACCUGGCCCACUCUUGACGCUGAGGCGCGAAAGCUAGGGGAGCAAACGGG